UCAAGCAGGUUCUGCACAUCACUAGUUGAUGAUGUUCCAAGAUUUCCACCCAAACAUGUUGCUGUUUUUCUGAGAGCAGAACCUCUGAACUCAGCAUUGGAAGUUGCCAUUUCAUAAUCUGCAAAUGCAAUGCGUGACUCGAUCAUCUCCUUGCAGAUGGUACCUCCAGGGGCCAUUAUCUUUUAUCUCAAUUAUUAAUGCUAGCACUGCUCUCUCAGAAUUGAAAUCAGUACCAUAGUCAUAGUUCUCCGGUAUCCACAAAUAGGCCUCCCCCAGAUGAGGAAUUGAGCUCAGAACUUGAUCAACCUUCAAGAAAAGAGACCCAACAGUGUAAAAAACAGAACAAGUAACG
rnacentral:misc_RNA from 1 species